GCCAGGUGUGGUGGCUAAUAUCUGUAAUCCCAACAGCUCAGGAGGCUGAGGCAGGAGGAUUGCCAGUUUAAAACCAGCCUCAGCAAAAAGAGAGAUGCUAAGCAACUCGGUGAAACCCUGUCUCUA
rnacentral:sRNA from 1 species